GCGGCUAGCUGGCCAUCAACAUGUGCCCAUAAUCUGCAGUCUUUGCCAGUUACAUUCUCUGCUGCCCUACAUAAAUUGGUGGGAAGUUUCUCCCCCGGCUCUGCCCUUCUGCUGAAGCCCAUGGAAGCCCAGGCCCUUCACUGCUGCUGCUGGGGCUCCCGCUACAAGGCAGCGGAGAAAAAUGUAGUAACAGCUCUGCUGUUGUCUUUUCGUUCCUCUCACUCUUUGCCUGGCUUCAACAUUUCUAUGAUGUCUGGACGUUGAGUCAUGCCAACUGUACUUGGAUGAGCAGCAAAAUGUUUCAAGCUAAUAAGAAAGAAGUCCAGUUGCCAGGACUCAACUUCCACAUCACCUCCGCUGGAUGACUGAGAAUCUUCACAGAUAUACUUCUGUUACUGGCUAUUAACCCACUGCGCCCACUUUCCUAUCUAGAAACCUAUGGUUUAAACUCAGAACACAAACCAGGUUGUCAAAUAAGUUUAGUAGGUCUUGAUGUUAUGUAAAUAAGUCCAGGAUUGCUGCCUGAAUAAAAGUUCCUUAGUACUUCCUAAACCA
rnacentral:lncRNA from 1 species